GAUGAAGAACGUAGUGAAAUGCGAUACGUAAUGUGAAUUGCAGAAUUCAGUGAAUCAUCGAAUCUUUGAACGCAUAUUGCGCUCUCUGGUAUUCCGGAGAGCAUGCUUGUUUGAGUAUCAGUAAACACCUCAACUCCCUUUUCUUUUUUGAAAUUGGAGCUGGACUUGAGUGAUCCCAACGCUUUCUUCCAAGAAAGUGGCGGGUUGCUUGAAAUGCAGGUGCAGCUGAACUUUUCUCUGAGCUAUAAGCAUAUCUAUUUAGUCUGCCUAAAAAACAGAUUAUUACCUUUGCUGCAGCUAACAUAAAGGAGACUAGUUCUUGUGCUGACUGAUGCAGGAUUCACAGAGACAGCUCCGGCUGACUUUGUAAACUCGAUCUCAAAUCAAGUAAGACUACCCGCUGAACUUAAGCAUAUCAAUAAGCGGAGGA
rnacentral:misc_RNA from 1 species